rnacentral:rRNA from 1 species
UACGUAGGUGGCGAGCGUUGUCCGGAUUUACUGGGCGUAAAGGGAGCGUAGGCGGACUUUUAAGUGAGAUGUGAAAUACUCGGGCUCAACUUGAGUGCUGCAUUUCAAACUGGAAGUCUAGAGUGCAGGAGAGGAGAAUGGAAUUCCUAGUGUAGCGGUGAAAUGCGUAGAGAUUAGGAAGAACACCAGUGGCGAAGGCGAUUCUCUGGACUGCAACUGACACUGAGGCGCGAAAGCGUGGGGAGCAAACAGG